AUUGAACGCUGGCGGCAUGCCUUACACAUGCAAGUCGAACGGCAGCACGGGUGCUUGCACCUGGUGGCGAGUGGCGAACGGGUGAGUAAUACAUCGGAACGUACCUUAUCGUGGGGGAUAACGCAGCGAAAGCUGUGCUAAUACCGCAUACGCCCUGAGGGGGAAAGCGGGGGAUCGAAAGACCUCGCGCGAUUAGAGCGGCCGAUGCCUGAUUAGCUUGUUGGUGGGGUAAAAGCCCACCAAGGCGACGAUCAGUAGCUGGUCUGAGAGGACGAUCAGCCACACUGGGACUAAGACACGGCCCAGACUCCUACGGGAGGCAGCAGUGGGGAAUUUUGGACAAUGGGGGCAACCCUGAUCCAGCAAUGCCGCGUGAGUGAAGAAGGCCUUCGGGUUGUAAAGCUCUUUUGUCAGGGAAGAAACACCGGCUCUAACACAGUCCGGGAAUGACGGUACCUGAAGAAUAAGCACCGGCUAACUUCGUGCCAGCCGCCGCGGUAA
rnacentral:rRNA from 1 species